rnacentral:lncRNA from 1 species
UUUCUGCUAUAAUGACUAACUUUAGGGAAAUAUCAACGAUACUAUAUAAAAAGGGACAUCUGUUUUAUAAACUACACUGCCCUGCGUUCUAAGUUCUACAAUUCUCUGUUGUUUCAAAUGGAGAAUAUGAAUUUCAACUACUACUACUACUUAGCUGUCUUGCUAUGUUUCUUUGUCAUUUUAUUCAAAUACUUGCUUCAUCCCAGAAAACGUUUAGCACCUAGUCCUCUGUCUCUUCCAAUAAUUGGCCACCUUUACCUUAUCAAGAAUUCCCUACACGAGACCUUAACUUCCUUAUCUACAAAAUAUGGCCCUGUUUUGUAUCUCCGGUUCGGCUGUAGAAAUUUGCCCCAAACACCUAGGAUGAUAUUCUUCCUUGGCCUACUGGCCGACUUCCUAGGUUCCGGAUCCUCUAAGGUCGAGAUCUUUUUCCUCUUUUUGUCCUUCGCCGCUUUCGGUACCGGGAACGAAGUCUACUUCUCACCGGAUAAGGGCCUCAUAACGGCAUCUUUGCCAAGGCCUUUAUAAAUAGAAAAUAAGUAAGAAACAGUUUAUAAAGUCAACAAAGACAUGGGAAUUAAGCUUACCAUGUGUUUUGGCCUCACAUUGGCCCUUUGAUAAAUCGCGCCACAAGCGCUCGACAUAUGUAGAGGUCGAAGUCAGGUCCCGUACCCAGCUCUUAAGGUUAGGAACUGCACCGGGCAUCCAAGCAACCGUUAUAUCAUGGAAAAGGAUAUCGGUGAGAGAGAAACGAAGGAGCAAGACAAUGGGAGCUAACAGUAGGAUUAUACUUACGCUUCAUAUUUCAUUCCUUGGGAAAUGGCAUCUUCUCGGCCGGGAUUAGGUCGGAAGUCUUCACUCGAACGAACCGGCCCAUCCAGCCUCAGUCCUUGUCCUCGACUAUACUCGAGAACAACACUUUGGUAGCCCGGCGCUGGAGUUUUAUUAACCCACCUCGGUAUAGGCGGGGGUUGUACAACCUGAUGAGGUGGUCGAGGGCGAUGGGAAUCCCCUCGAUUUUGUUUACAAAGAAGCGGAUCAGGAUAACGAUUCGCUAAAAAGAAUGAUGGAUUUAGCCUAGGAUUACCCGGUAUUGGCGUUAAAAAUCAAUGACAACAGGGUCGAGGGGGCCCAAUGUGAAAGGGCAAGUAUAAACACUUAAAAACCCUUUCACAUAAGUAGUAAUAUCUUCUUCGGGAGCCGAGAUUAUCACUUUUUUUCUCCAGUGGCAAUCUUUCCUUACCUGUUUAAGAUAUCCCUCAGUUAUCGAGAACAUAUACCUCGAUACUGGUUCGCAUAGGCCAGGAAUCGACGAGGCUUUAUCGGUCUUAAAAUUAGAAGUAAGAACACCCCCCUCCCCCCACGGGAACACAUUCCUUAGAUCGUGGCUCCACCGGUAUUUUGUUGCCGGCGGGCCGUGAAGAAGAAGCGUUUUCUUUUUUAGGAAUAUUUUUUGACGUUUUUGCUAUUUGGAUUUGAAGAUUGAAAAUAGAGGGAGAUGACACGAUUUGAUGUUCAAAAGAGAGAUUUUAUAGUGAAAAUCACAGAUUCGCAGAUGGAAAACUUAGAAAAUGCGAAAAGGAUCUUAGAAGAUUUGGAGAUUGGAGAUCUAAAAGUAAAAAAUGAUAAAUAGAGGAGCUAUUUAUAGAGUUGGCAAUGACGGUUCAAUAUCAGUAGUGGUCGACCAUCAUCUGACACGCAUUUAAUGCUUUGGUAACUGAACUGACGGGACAUCUAUUACGUACAUCAUGGUCGGGCUCGAUGCAAACGUCAGUAUAUAUCUAGUCAUGCCGUUGGAAAAUCAUGUCGUUUCUCGCCACAUCCUUCCCGAGAAACGAAGGGACUAUCUGUGUAUGGUCAAAACCGAUUUCGACCUUCGUAUGAUUAGUCAAGAUUGGAACAUAAUGGACCGACAUACGUCUUCAUAAUAUCGAGAUGAGAUCUGAAGCCAGGAGACCGAGCUCAAGUUUCAAGGACCGAUCAAAUACCGAGCUCGAAGUCAUUAUCGAGCUCGGGUUCAAAUCGAACUAUGACGAGAAGUGAUGUUAUCGAGCUCAAGAGCCAGAGUCCGAUCAAUACCGAACCUCGAGUCAAUAUCGAAAUCUAAUUCUGAAGAUCGACCAAUACCAAGUCCGAUCAAGAUCGAGCUAAGAGACAAGAGCCGUUAUAGCCGCACUAAGGGAGAAAAUCUCGGUGGCAAUUAAGGAAAAGCCAAUUAACUAAUCCAUCAUGGGAUCCCCACUAUAUAUUUUUUAUAUCUAAAAUAGGGUUUUCUCCACUAUAAGAAGAAUGACUAUCAUUUCUGUAAGGAAAAAAAGACAUCUACACACUCCCAUAUUGAAAAGAUUAUUGGUAUCCAUAUAAAGAUUAUCCUUUUUCUGGCUUUGGGCAUUAAUUCGUCUUGCUUGUUCAUAAAUCGUUUUCCACUCAAUCUGGUUUGCAUUUCAUUUUUUUUACAGUCAAUAUUCGAUAUAUUUCUACUUACUUUUCCGAUUUGUGCCAAGUUAUAUCACGUAUCCUUAGAGUUACGUAUAUAUUCAAUUCUAUCCGUUUUUCGGGUAAACAAUUACAGAAAACAAAUGUUUAUAUAAUAAAAUUAAUAGUUAGAAUAAAUUAAACUAACAAAAAUCAAACAUUCAACUCACAUUAAGAAAUUAACCUAGCAUUAUGACAUCACAAUAUCAGACUAACAUAACACAAUCAUUUAUUUUAUUUAAUUAAACUAACACUCUAAUCAAAUUAAUACUUAUACUCCUAGUAAUUAAAGUAACCAGCCGCGGUAGCUAACAUUGACUACAUAAAUCAAAGACUAAUUAUAUAAUAUCAUUAUUAGGUUAAAAAAGUGAUCUACAGGAAGCUAACCGGUCGCUGACCAUCCACGGUUAGCUAACAUUUACUACAUAGUUCAAGAGGUUAAUUGCUAUACAUUAUAUAUAAUCCACAGAAAUAUCCUCGCAUGUAAUAAUCAUUUUUUUGUAGUGUGCAGUACCCAAAAUUAUUUAUCACAAUUAUAAAUUUCACGAUCGCUUUAUUUUACUUUGAAGCCAUCAUUAUUUUAAUCAAGAUAUAAUGAUUCUUUUCAUUGUUUUUUAUUGCUAUUAUUGGUGUUGAUGAUAUAUCUGCUACUGAAGGAGAGUCUUGGCGUAACUGAUAAAGUUACAGCCAUGUUACUAGCAGGUCACGGGUUCAAGUCGUGGAAACAGCAUCUUGCAGAAAUGUAGAGUAAGGCUGCGUGUGGUCCGGACCUUCCCCGGAUCUCGCGCAUAACGGGAGCUUAGUGCACGGGCUGCCCCUGAUAUAUUUGCUACUGUUGUUGCUAUAAUUGUUGCAGGAAAUGAAAUGAACAAAGAGAACUAAGAGAAGUUUUGUGGUCAGGAUAAGAAAUGAAAGGGAUUGAUAGAAUAUGCAUCAUACAAUUGCUGUCUGGAUUACUAGAUUUUGUCAAUUACUUAAAUUCGUCAGCUCUUACGAAAUUGUCUCCAUACAUGGGCCACUGAUUUCUGCUAUAAUGACUAACUUUAGGGCAAUAUCAACAAUACUAUAUAAAAAGGGACAUCUGUUUUAUAAACUACACUGCCCUGAGUUCUAAGUUCUACAAUUCUCUGUUGUUUCAAAUGGAGAAUCUGAAUUUCAACUACUACUACUACUUAGCUGUCUUGCUAUGUUUCUUUGUCAUUUUAUUCAAAUACUUGCUUCAUCCCAGAAAACGUUUAGCACCUAGUCCUCUGUCUCUUCCAAUAAUUGGCCACCUUUACCUUAUCAAGAAUUCCCUACACGAGACCUUAACUUCCUUAUCUACAAAAUAUGGCCCUGUUUUGUAUCUCCGGUUCGGCUGUAGAAAUUUGCUUGUUGUGUCUUCUCCAUCUGCGGUAGAAGAAUGCUUCACCAAAAACGAUAUCAUAUUUGCAAAUCGCCCUCAGAGCAUGGCUGGAGAUCAGUUUUCCUUCAACUAUAAGGCUGUUGUCUGGGCUCCUUACGGCUAUCUUUGGAGGGCUCUCCGCCGUCUAACUGUGAUCGAGAUCUUCUCUUCCAAUAGCCUUCAAAAAUCUUCUGCACUGCGGAAUGAAGAAAUUGGAAUUCUUAUUCGCUCUUUGUUUAAGGCCAGCACUGGUAGUGGGAGCAAAAGAGUUAACUUGAGUCAUUGGGUUUUUACUUUUGCGGUCAAUGUUAU